rnacentral:rRNA from 1 species
CUUGACCUCGGAUCAGGUAGGGAUACCCGCUGAACUUAAGCAUAUCAAUAAGCGGAGGAAAAGAAACCAACAGGGAUUGCCCUAGUAACGGCGAGUGAAGCGGCAACAGCUCAAAUUUGAAAUCUGGCGUCUUUGGCGUCCGAGUUGUAAUUUGCAGAGGGCGCUUUGGCAUUGGCAGCGGUCCAAGUUCCUUGGAACAGGACGUCACAGAGGGUGAGAAUCCCGUACGUGGUCGCUAGCCUUUACCGUGUAAAGCCCCUUCGACGAGUCGAGUUGUUUGGGAAUGCAGCUCUAAAUGGGAGGUAAAUUUCUUCUAAAGCUAAAUACUGGCCAGAGACCGAUAGCGCACAAGUAGAGUGAUCGAAAGAUGAAAAGCACUUUGGAAAGAGAGUUAAAAAGCACGUGAAAUUGUUGAAAGGGAAGCGCUUGCAGCCAGACUUGCCUGUAGUUGCUCAUCCGGGUUUUUACCCGGUGCACUCUUCUACGGGCAGGCCAGCAUCAGUUUGGGCGGUUGGAUAAAGGUCUCUGUCAUGUACCUCCUCUCGGGGAGAUCUUAUAGGGGAGACGACAUGCAACCAGCCUGGACUGAGGUCCGCGCAUCUGCUAGGAUGCUGGCGUAAUGGCUGUAAGCGGCCCGUCUUGAAACACGGAACAAGGAGUCUAACAUCUAUGCGAGUGUUUGGGUGUCAAGCCCGAACGCGUAAUGAAAGUGAACGGAGGUGGGAACCUUUCGGGGUGCACCAUCGACCGAUCCUGAUGUCUUCGGAUGGAUUUGAGUAAGAGCAUAGCUGUUGGGACCCGAAAGAUGGUGAACUAUGCUUGAAUAGGGUGAAGCCAGAGGAAACUCUGGUGGAGGCUCGCAGCGGUUCUGACGUGCAAAUCGAUCGUCAAAUUUGGGCAUAGGGGCGAAAGAC